UGCUCCAGGGCUGCUCGGGGAACGUGUAUUCCAGCCGUGCGGCUCCAGGGCUGUCCGAGAAACGGGCCCGGCUCCACCGCUCCCGGGAAAACGAGUCCCGGCUGUGCCGCUCCCGCGUUUCCCGGGAAACCGGCCUCGGCUGUGCUUCCCGGGCUUCCCAGGAAACCGACCCCGGCACUGCCGCUCCAGGGGAAGUGGAUCCCAGCUGUGCCGCUCCAGGGCGGCCAGGCAGGAGCAAGAGCAGGAGCAGGACCUGCCCUGGCCCGGUCCCAGGCGGGGCGGUGAACGGGGGCUGUUCCCAUGGGGAGGUCGGCGGGGAAAGGGGUCACUGCCCUGACCCUGCUGGUCUGUGGGCUGUCCCGCCGGGGAAACGUUCGGAUAUGGCUUAGAAGUGAAGGCAAGCGCUGGAGAAGGCUGCAGAGCAGGAGGAGACAGGAAGUGUUAAAAUAAACAUGAAAAGGGCAA